rnacentral:rRNA from 1 species
UACGAAGGGGGCUAGCGUUGCUCGGAAUCACUGGGCGUAAAGGGUGCGUAGGCGGGUCUUAAGUCAGGGGUGAAAUCCUGGAGCUCAACUCCAGAACUGCCUUUGAUACUGAAGAUCUUGAGUCCGGGAGAGGUGAGUGGAACUGCGAGUGUAGAGGUGAAAUUCGUAGAUAUUCGCAAGAACACCAGUGACGAAGGCGGCUCACUGGCCCGGUACUGACGCUGAGGCACGAAAGCGUGGGGAGCAAACAGG